ensembl:lncRNA
CGGGACCGUCGCGCGAGCCCGAGAUCCCAGAAACCUUAGGGGCGAGAUCGUUAGGUCGACAAGUUUUGAGAAUCACUGCCCUGGUCAAAACGGAUUUCAAGGCGGCCCUCACCCGCUAACUUAAGGGAGCUGCAGGAGAGGGCUCACCUGCCCAGGCAGCCUCGGGGGCCAAUUGAGCCACGGUUCACUCGACCGCCCGCUCGGCGCUUGGGAGAGCCGGGGAAGAGUGGCCCCGGCCAGAUCAGCGCCGCCGCAGAGCUCUCGGGGAGACGCCGUCGAUGGGGCGGCGGGGCCCGCGCCUGCGCCCUGGAGGUGCUGGCGCUAUGGAGCCCGUCGCGGGCGCAGUCGUGAGGAGUGUUCCUGUGUCCCGUGGCGCUCUCCUGUCAGCCCAGGGUCCCACCGCUGGCGGCUGGAUGUUCCUCAGGGCCGGUCGGGACCCAGCCCGCACUGGCUUCUCAUUUUAAACUUGUCGGGGGCGUGCCUUUUUCUUGUUCACCUCUCUUGUAGGUCCACCGUGAAUUUUCACAGUGAGAGGUGAAAGGAAGGUUGAUUUCUUGGCCGGUGCAGUCCAGGCUUUGUGCUGCUGAGGGGAGGGCUGCCCAGCAGUGAGGCAGGUGUCCACGGCCCAGACCGGCUCAGCUAGUCCAUUGCCUCCAGCGAGGGUUAGGCUUGUGGUCUCAGCCGUGGGGUUGAAUCGUGAAAAACAGUAAUCGUUUGUUGAGCCCCUGCUGACAUGCAUCUGGAUGCUCAUGGCACAGAAAAUUGAAGUGGAUCCAUGGAUUUCAUCAAGUUCUCUAAAUGAUGAAAAAGAUUAGAAAACACUAUUUUAAGGCUUGGUGAAAAGUACGAGAAGGCCCACCUCCAUAAAAAUCACCUGAGGACAACCUCUGUCGACCAUCCAAGAAGACACUGAAUGACCUGGACACUCCUCAACCUGCAGCUGUUCCUGACCCAACUACUACAAGACCUCUGGAUCAGCACCCCAACAGGAACCUCCUUUGAAGGCCUGACCAUGCUGGUGUCUCAAGUGUGGCGUCAGGGAACCUUCUACAACCUAACUUUCUCCAAGACCGGAUUUGGGCCAUCUCUCAAGUCCAAGUGAAGACCAUUCUUCUUAAGAGCCUCACCUCAGCCUCGGGAAAAGGAGACCCUGGGCCCUAGGACAGGCCUCUAUUCCAGACCCAGAGCCGUCGCCUCUACCCAGCAGGAAGUAGCCAGAGAGAUACGGUGCCCUUUCCCCCCGUCUUUUUAUGAUUUCAGGGUCUGGAAUGAAGGAGUCUUCGGGCCUGGAAGAAGGAGAUAACCACUUCAAAGGCCCACGCUGGACCAGCUGACUUCAGGGAAAACAAAACUGAACUGAAAAGUCCCACCCUGAUACUCUGGCAGAUUGCAUCAGCCAGAGACUUUCAACCCCCGGCAUGGAGGCCCCCCGCCCACCCCUGUUCAACC